GAUGAACGCUAGCUACAGGCUUAACACAUGCAAGUCGAGGGGUAGCACGGAGGAAGCUUGCUUCCUUGGGUGACGACCGGCGCACGGGUGAGUAACGCGUAUCCGACCUACCCAUAACUCGGGCACAGCCGCUCGAAAGAGUGAUUGAUUCCCGAUAUGUCAUUAGAGUAGAUUUAAUGAUGAAAGAUUCAUCGGUUAUGGAUGGGGAUGCGUAAGAUUAGGUAGUAGGCGGGGUAACGGCCCACCUAGCCGACGAUCUUUAGGGGUUCUGAGAGGAAGGUCCCCCACACUGGUACUGAGACACGGACCAGACUCCUACGGGAGGCAGCAGUGAGGAAUAUUGGUCAAUGGGCGCAAGCCUGAACCAGCCAAGUAGCGUGAAGGAUGACUGCCCUAUGGGUUGUAAACUUCUUUUAUACGGGAACAAACCUUGGUACGCGUACCAAAUUGCGCGUACCGUAUGAAUAAGCAUCGGCUAACUCCGUG
rnacentral:rRNA from 1 species